rnacentral:rRNA from 1 species
GACGAACGCUGGCGGCGUGCCUAAUACAUGCAAGUCGAACGCAGUGGGGACGGGUGAGUAACACGUGGGUAACCUGCCAUCAGAGGGGAUAACACUUGGAAACAGGUGCUAAACCGAUACUGAUGGAUGAACCGGCGGUGAAUGGGCUAGUUGGUGGGGUAACGGCGCACCAAGGCCACGAUGCAUAGCUGGCCUGAGAGGCUGAUCGGCCACACUGGGACUGAGACACGGCCCAGACUCCUACGUGAGGCAGCAGUAGGGAAUCUUCGGCAAUGGACGAAAGUCUGAUCGAGCAACGCCGCGUGAGUGAAGAAGGUUUUCGGAUUGUAAAGUACUGUCGUUAGGGAAGCGUUAUCUAACCAGAAAGCCACGGCUAACUACGUGCCAGCCGCCGCGGUAAUUC